GAUUAACUAGAGAGAUCCUUGGUCGACAAGCAGCUGCAACACACACCAUCGGGGUGAGUAGCAGCAGUAGCAGCACGCAGCGUGAGGAGCAGUGGCUAAUGGUACCAGCAGCGCGGACCGGCGACGAGCAGCAGCAACACGCAAUAGGGAGGAGCAGCAACAAUAGCAGCACGCACCGGCGGCGAGCAGCAUCAACGUAGCAGUGGCGGGCAACAGCGACACGCAAUGGCCGUACCAUCAGUAGUACGGUAGGGGUCGCCGGAAAGGCCAUGGGAGCUUCACGUG
rnacentral:lncRNA from 1 species